rnacentral:lncRNA from 1 species
GAAAGAGGGGGAGAGAGUCCACAACAUAACAAGCAUUCCUUGCACUUCUGUCUUUUACCCGCUGAGCACGGAGGAGAGAGACAGGCCGGUGCACAGCAUCUGGUUAAAGUCAGCUUCGUGCCGUUUCGAACAUUUGGCGGAAUGAAAGGCACCUCCAGGUGUAAUAUGCCAGAGGAGCAUCUUCAGCCAUAGGAUUCUCCUGAAUGAAGACUAGAAGAUGUGGCUGGGGCCUGAACACAGGAAACUGAAGGACUCCUUCGAGAACAGCAGCUGUGACCUGGGAGAGGAAUCAGAGAAAGUGAGUGCCUCCGCUGCUCCAGAAGGGAAGCAGACAGGCAACUCGACUACAGAAGCUAACAGCCCUGGCUGAACUACCAACUGAUAGC